GGAGAGGUGGCCGAGUGGUUGAAGGCACUCGUCUUGAAAACGAGCAACGGCUAAUACCCGUUCGUGGGUUCGAAUCCCACCCUCUCCGCCA
rnacentral:tRNA from 1 species